GACGAACGCUGGCGGCGCGCCUAACACAUGCAAGUCGAACGGAGUUUCCCCUUCGGGGGGAGCUUAGUGGCGGACGGGUGAGUAACACGUGAGGAACCUGCCUUUGAGAGCGGGAUACCGUCUGGAAACCGGACGUUAAUACCGCAUAAUGCAGCGAGGCCACAUGGCCAUGCUGCCAAAGAUUUAUCGCUCAAAGAUGGCCUCGCGCCUGAUUAGAUAGUUGCGGGUAACGGCCCACCAAGUCUGCGAUCAGUAGCCGGACUGACGAGGUCGAACGGCCACAUUGGGACUGAGAUACGGCCCAGACUCCUACGGGAGGCAGCAGUGGGGGAUAUUGCACAAU
rnacentral:rRNA from 1 species